rnacentral:rRNA from 1 species
CGCUUCUUGAACAAAUAUAAGAAGUCCAGCCUGCCCGGUGACAUAGUUUAACGGCCGCGGUACCCUAACCGUGCGAAGGUAGCAUAAUCACUUGUUCUUUAAAUAGGGACUAGUAUCAAUGGCAUUACGAGGGCUGCACUGUCUCCUUUCUCCAAUCAGUGAAACUGAUCUCCCCGUGAAAAAGCGGGGAUAUUAAUAUAAGACGAGAAGACCCCAUGGAGCUUUAAGCAACGAAUUUACUACACAUCAAAAAUACAACUAAUUCUAAAACCUAAAUUCUAGCUUUUGGUUGGGGGGACCGCGGAGUAUAACCCAACCUCCGCAACUAAUGGGCUUUGCCCUUAUCUGCGAACUACAACUCUAAGAAUCAAAAAAUUGACGUCUUUGACCCGAAAACUCGAUCAAUGGACCAAGUUACCCUGGGGAUAACAGCGCAAUCUACUUUAAGAGCCCCUAUCGACAAGUAGGUUUACGACCUCGAUGUUGGAUCAGGAUAUCCUGGUGGUGCAGCCGCUACUAAUGGUUCGUUUGUUCAACGAUUAAAACCCU